CCUACGGGAGGCAGCAGUGAGGAAUAUUGGUCAAUGGGCGCAAGCCUGAACCAGCCAUGCCGCGUGCAGGAAGAAUGCCCUCUGGGUUGUAAACUGCUUUUAUUUGGGAAUAAACCUUUUUACGUGUAGAAAGCUGAAGGUACCAAAUGAAUAAGCACCGGCUAACUCCGUGCCAGCAGCCGCGGUAAUACGGAGGGUGCAAGCGUUAUCCGGAAUCAUUGGGUUUAAAGGGUCCGCAGGCGGAUUUAUAAGUCAGUGGUGAAAUCUCUCGGCUUAACCGAGAAACUGCCAUUGAUACUGUAAGUCUUGAAUUCGGUCGAAGUGGGCGGAAUGUGUAGUGUAGCGGUGAAAUGCAUAGAUAUUACACAGAACACCGAUAGCGAAGGCAGCUCACUAGGCCUGGAUUGACGCUCAGGGACGAAAGCGUGGGGAUCAAACAGGAUUAGAUACCCUGGCAGUCCACGCUGUAAACGAUGAUUACUCGUUUUCGGCGAUAUACAGUCGGAGACUAAGCGAAAGUGAUAAGUAAUCCACCUGGGAGUAACGAGUCGCGAGGUUGAAACGUUCAAAGGAAUUGACGG
rnacentral:rRNA from 1 species